GCACCCAUAGCUCAGUGGUAGAGCGCUUGCAUGACACGCAAGAGGUCCGAGGUUCGAUCCCUCGUGGGCGCACAA
rnacentral:tRNA from 1 species